rnacentral:rRNA from 1 species
AACGAACGCUGGCGGCAGGCUUAACACAUGCAAGUCGAACGCCCCGCAAGGGGAGUGGCAGACGGGUGAGUAACGCGUGGGAAUCUACCGUGCCCUGCGGAAUAGCUCUGGGAAACUGGAAUUAAUACCGCAUACGCCCUACGGGGGAAAGAUUUAUCGGGGUAUGAUGAGCCCGCGUUGGAUUAGCUAGUUGGUGGGGU